CGUGGUGUGUAGCGGUUGGGUGGGUCGAGUUGUCUCUCCACAUGGUGUAAGGUAAUCCCCAACCAUAGUGGGCUUGGAGUUGUGAGGGAAUUCGGAGUGGCCACCUGUUCUGAAAGUUUGAUUUUCUUCUGGUGAAUUGGACAUUCUUUUAAUUAUAUUUGAGGUUUUGGGCUUUUAAAUGUAAUAAGGCCGCUUAAUUAUUUUUAAUGGUUUUAAUAUAUAUUACUAAGAUAGGUAUUACUUAUUUUAACUGUUGAAAUUGGAUAGCUUUAGGGCGCGUUUUCAAAAACAACAGUUGAUUUCAAAAUAACACAACAACAAGCAAAGCUUCCGCAAUGAAAGUAUUUUCCAAAAUUAAUCACUUUUCCUAAAAAUGACUUAAUCAAAUCGGUUUCCUAGAAAUAUCCAUGACGUUAAGGUGUGGCAAUGGCGGUAUGCAUGUCUAGGAUUGGAUCCGAAGGAAGCUUGGUACUUAAAUAGUCCGAUGGACUCACCACCUCUUUUCCGGUUUCCUACCUGAUCCGGCUAUAACUUCUGGGCCGGGUUUGGGGUGCUACAUGCAUGCAGGCCAGUUUCCAACAAGAAUCAUGCGUGAUAAACUUAUAAGUGGAUUUAACAAUAAACUUACCAUGGUUAGAGCAUCUAAAGAUCAACUCAGCAUUGUUGACUAAAGGGAUUGGACAUGAAACAGCCACAAU